CGUAGGGGGCAAGCGUUGUCCGGAUUUAUUGGGCGUAAAGAGCGUGUAGGCGGCCAAGUAAGUCUGCUGUGAAAACUCGAGGCUUAACCUCGAGCUGUCGGCGGAAACUAUUUGGCUAGAGUCCGGAAGAGGAGAAUGGAAUUCCCGGUGUAGCGGUGAAAUGCGCAGAUAUCGGGAAGAACACCCGUGGCGAAGGCGGUUCUCUGGGACGGUACUGACGCUGAGACGCGAAAGCGUGGGGAGCGAACAGGAUUAGAUACCCUGGUAGUCCACGCCGUAAACGAUGAGUGCUAGGUGUGGGGGGUGUCGACUCCCUCCGUGCCGCAGCUAACGCAUUAAGCACUCCGCCUGGGGAGUACGGCCGCAAGGCUA
rnacentral:rRNA from 1 species